rnacentral:rRNA from 1 species
GACGUAGGGCGCGAGCGUUGUUCGGAAUCACUGGGCGUAAAGGGCGCGUAGGCGGCUUUGUAAGUCGGGGGUGAAAGCCUGUGGCUCAACCACAGAAUUGCCUUCGAUACUGCAUGGCUUGAGACCGGAAGAGGUAAGUGGAACUGCGAGUGUAGAGGUGAAAUUCGUAGAUAUUCGCAAGAACACCAGUGGCGAAGGCGGCUUACUGGUCCGGUUCUGACGCUGAGGCGCGAAAGCGUGGGGAGCAAACAGG